rnacentral:ncRNA from 1 species
ACUAGAAGUGGAGCUUGCGGCUUAAUUUGACUCAACACGGGAAAACUUACCAGGUCCGAACUUAUGGAGGUAAGACAGAUUGAGAGCUCUUUCUCAAACUUAA